rnacentral:rRNA from 1 species
UACAGAGGUGGCAAGCGUUGUUCGGAAUUACUGGGCGUAAAGGGCGCGUAGGCGGCCUUCUAAGUCAGACGUGAAAUCCCCCGGCUUAACCUGGGAACUGCGUCUGAUACUGGAGGGCUUGAGUAUGGGAGAGGGAUGUAGAAUUCCAGGUGUAGCGGUGAAAUGCGUAGAUAUCUGGAGGAAUACCGGCGGCGAAGGCGGCGUCCUGGACCAACACUGACACUGAUGAGCGAAAGCCAGGGGAGCAAACGGG